AAGGAGGGUUGUAGAUGACGACCUUGAUAGGCUGCAGGUGUACGCAUUGAGAGAUGUUUAGCCGAGCAGUACUAAUGAUCCGUAACUUUC
rnacentral:rRNA from 1 species